GAUGAACGCUGGCGGCGUGCCUAACACAUGCAAGUCGAGCGAUUCUCUUCGGAGAAGAGCGGCGGACGGGUGAGUAACGCGUGGGUAACCUGCCCUGUACACACGGAUAACAUACUGAAAGGUAUGCUAAUACGAGAUAAUAUGCUUUUAUCGCAUGGUAGAAGUACCAAAGCUUUUGCGGUACAGGAUGGACCCGCGUCUGAUUAGCUAGUUGGUAAGGUAACGGCUUACCAAGGCGACGAUCAGUAGCCGACCUGAGAGGGUGAUCGGCCACAUUGGAACUGAGACACGGUCCAAACUCCUACGGGAGGCAGCAGUGGGGAAUAUUGCACAAUGGGCGAAAGCCUGAUGCAGCAACGCCGCGUGAGCGAUGAAGGCCUUCGGGUCGUAAAGCUCUGUCCUCAAGGAAGAUAAUGACGGUACUUGAGGAGGAAGCCCCGGCUAACUACGUGCCAGCAGCCGCGGUAA
rnacentral:rRNA from 1 species